UCUUGAUUUUAAUUAAUUUUAAAAUCUUUAUUUUACUGUGAACUGUAUUAUUACGAGACGCUUGAGGGAUGCUUACUGAUUAUAAAGGAUAGGUCAAGUAAGAUGUUAACCGAGUCUCGAUCAAGCUCUUAAUGGGCUUGGUAUCCUAAUUUAUUAUUAACCAAAUGAAUUCAGUAUAAAUAAUUGUAACAUAGACCUAAAAAAUCUAUAAAAACAACUUUUAACAACGGAUCUCUUGGUUCUCGCAUCGAUGAAGAACGUAGCAAAGUGCGAUAACUAGUGUGAAUUGCAUAUUCAGUGAAUCAUCGAGUCUUUGAACGCAUCUUGCGCUCAUUGGUAUUCCAAUGAGCACGCCUGUUUCAGUAUCAGAAACACCCCACAUUCAACAACUUGUUGCUGAAUGGAAUUGAGAGUUUUUACAGUGCGUUAAACCACUGUUCUCUUUAAAAACAUUAGGCCUGGAAUUUUAGUUUUUCCUGUUUCGCCUGAACUUUUUUUUUAAUAUAAAGGAAAAGCUCGGUUUGCUUAACACUUAGGUUAACUAAAUUUUGGGGCCUCCCAUAAAUAAAACUUUCUUAAAUUUGAUCUGAAAUCAGGCGGGAUUACCCGCUGAACUUAAGC
rnacentral:misc_RNA from 1 species